rnacentral:rRNA from 1 species
UACGUAGGGUGCAAGCGUUAAUCGGAAUUACUGGGCGUAAAGCGUGCGCAGGCGGUGAUGUAAGACAGGUGUGAAAUCCCCGGGCUUAACCUGGGAACUGCAUUUGUGACUGCAUCGCUGGAGUGCGGCAGAGGGGGAUGGAAUUCCGCGUGUAGCAGUGAAAUGCGUAGAUAUCUGGAGGAACACCGGUGGCGAAGGCGGUAUCCUGGACCGAUACUGACGCUGAGGAGCGAAAGCCAGGGGAGCAAACGGG